CACUUGCGAGAGCAAACACACAUGCCGUGCACGUGCAUCUGUUGAGGGGACGGGGUGCGUUUGUUUCUGUGGAAAUGGGAGGUUCAAGAUAAGAGCUUCCACUGAACAAGAAGGAGGCCACGGCCUGACAGCUGAGCGACGAGCGACACAUGGAGAGCGUCGAGGUGGCGGUCUGUGUAUGCAAACACGCCGUCACCGCUGCGUUUCUCUGGAAACAUUUUACGGUGUUUGCAGAGCGCAUGCAGAUGAGUCACGGCGAUGAUGCUGGAGUGUUUGUCCGCGUGUCCACCGAAGCUUCCUCAUGCAACAUUACUCAAAAAUGGACUGGCGGAUUUUUGGGUGAAAUUUUCAUGGAAGGUCAGAAAUAACACAAGGACCAAGUGAUUAGAUUUUGGCAGUGAUGCAGCUUAUAGUCUGGAUCCAUGGAUUUAUUAAAGAUUCCUCUGUAAUUGUGAGAUAAUGGAACAACGUCACUGUAACCAUGACAACAAGUGAACACUACAUCAGCUGCCUGCUGACGAUCACAUGAUUGUGAUCCUGCCACAAAUCCAUCACUGUGGGCUUAUCAGGACUUCUCCGUUGGAAAUGAUACAAGGAACAAUUGAUUAAAUUGUAGAGGUGUUUCUGAGUCCCAUCAAUUCCCGCCACCCACUACAUAUUUAGGUCAUGUGAUUCAGUAUCUGUACACAACGUACACAUGUAUAACACACACCUGUACUCAGUGGAAGGUCAUUUUGAGGGUACAUCUAUAUUAAAUGGACACAUUAUAUGUUGCCGUGAUUUCUGCCACAACUUUUUUCAACAUUUCAGCCGUCAGAAAUGAUACAACUGAGCAGCUUUGGUGAAGUAUUGCGCUUUCUGAUAUCUAGAGUGCCAAUGAUGCAGAUUAUACUAAUAGUAGGAAAUACCACAAAGAAAGCCAUUGGUUGUGCUGCACAGGAGGCUCAUUCUGGCACAAAUUACACAUUUUACCUUAAUGCUAGAGGAACAGUAGCAACAUUUCAAACAUUCUAAAGGUCAAACGUAAUGUCUGGACAAAGACUGAUGAAAGCUGGCAGGCAUGAGAUGCUAAAUCAAGUUAACCAUGGAAAAGUCCCACUGACUGAAAAAUAUGCGCUAGUUGAAACGCCAAAAAUCUGAAUGUUAGAUGCUAAAAAUUGGACUCCAACCAACAGUCAGUCUUUGAAUCCACGAGGUGCACCAAAACAGUGAACCAGUUGUCAUGGAAGUUUGCUUAUCCAGUUUUCUGUCGACUUGGGGGUCUUGCAGGGGGAACUGCGCAAAUUUGGAGUAUUAGAGCUGUUGCAAUAAACCAUUUAGUCACUA